UUUACUAAAUAUGACAGGAGUGAUGGGUGGACGAUGAAGAACUAAUCUUAUUUUCGAGACGUUUGAAAUUCCAUAUUUCAAAUCAACCUAAAUAGGAUUAGUCUGCCCAUUUUUAUACAUGUUUUUAGCUAUUGUUCAUUCAUAGCUUACUUUGUGCGCGCAGUGCUAAUCCUUCCAGAACCAGUGGGAGGAUUUUUUG
rnacentral:sRNA from 1 species